GCCCGGUUAGCUCAAUCGGUAGAGGUUAGUAAAGCCAUCAAACAUCUGAUUUGAUUCCUUCAAAUACUAACAUCUUAAAUAGCGUGAGACUCUUAAUCUCAAGGUUGCGGGUUCGACCCCCGCAUCGGGCU